rnacentral:rRNA from 1 species
CAGUCGCCGCGGUAACACGGAGGGUGCAAGCGUUAUCCGGAUUUAUUGGGUUUAAAGGGUCCGUAGGCGGACUUAUAAGUCAGUGGUGAAAGCCUGUCGCUUAACGAUAGAACUGCCAUUGAUACUGUAAGUCUUGAGUAUAUUUGAGGUAGCUGGAAUAAGUAGUGUAGCGGUGAAAUGCAUAGAUAUUACUUAGAACACCAAUUGCGAAGGCAGGUUACCAAGAUAUAACUGACGCUGAGGGACGAAAGCGUGGGUAGCGAACAGGAUUAGAUACCCCGGUAGUCCCUGUCUCUUAUAA